UACGAAGGGGGCUAGCGUUGCUCGGAAUCACUGGGCGUAAAGCGCACGUAGGCGGAUCUUUAAGUCAGGGGUGAAAUCCUGGAGCUCAAUUCCAGAACUGCCUUUGAUACUGAAGAUCUUGAGUUCGGGAGAGGUGAGUGGAACUGCGAGUGUAGAGGUGAAAUUCGUAGAUAUUCGCAAGAACACCAGUGGCGAAGGCGGCUCACUGGCCCGAUACUGACGCUGAGGCACGAAAGCGUGGGGAGCAAACAGG
rnacentral:rRNA from 1 species